UACGUAGGGUGCGAGCGUUAAUCGGAAUUACUGGGCGUAAAGCGUGCGCAGGCGGUUUUGUAAGCCAGGUGUGAAAUCCCCGGGCUCAACCUGGGAAUGGCAUUUGGGGACUGCAAGGCUGGAGUGCGGCAGAGGAGACUGGAAUUCCUGGUGUAGCAGUGAAAUGCGUAGAUAUCAGGAGGAACACCGAUGGCGAAGGCAGGUCUCUGGGCUGACACUGACGCUCAUGCACGAAAGCGUGGGGAGCAAACAGG
rnacentral:rRNA from 1 species